rnacentral:rRNA from 1 species
AACGAACGCUGGCGGCGUGCCUAACACAUGCAAGUCGAGCGGGAAAGUUCCCUUCGGGGAGCGAGUACAGCGGCGAACGGGUGAGUAACACGUAGGUAACCUACCCUGGGGUCCGGGAUAACCUGUCGAAAGACGGGCUAAUACCGGAUAAGACCACGAGGGCCUCGGCCCUUGAGGUAAAAGAUGGCCUCUGCUUGCAAGCUAUCACCCCGAGAGUGGCCUGCGCGCCAUUAGCUAGUUGGUGAGGUAACGGCUCACCAAGGACG